rnacentral:lncRNA from 10 species
UACAAUUCCUUUUUUCAAUCCAUCUUCCUUUUUUCACAUUUGACUAUAAGCAGUAAGGAGAAACCAAGCCUGUCCUUGACAGCCUUUGAUAUUUCCAGAGUCAAUACCUGCUUUCCAUUCUCCACAGCAUCUAAUAUAAGUCAUGGCUUCUCAUCUGUCCUGCUUCCCCGCUUCGCGUUCACCACUGUGAGCACAACUCCAGCUGCAGCGGCGGCUCUGUCCCACAAGACUGCCUCACCUCUGAUGCCAGCCACAAGUUCCAGGUCUCCAGAUGACUACCGCUUCUAUUUGACUUGGCUACAAAUUCAGGGGUUUCCGGCCCCACCUCAAAAAGUAUAAUAUAAUGUACUUUCAUUAUAAAGAAUAUAAAAGUAUAAUAUACUUUUAUUAAAAAGAAUAUAAUAUAUAUAAAGAACAGCCAAAUCACGAGAUGCAUAAGAAUACCCCCAAGCCUCAUUUUUCAGAGUUUUUCUAGAAGUUUUAUUACUUAGAGAUGAUUGAUUAAAUUAUUGGCCAUUGGUGACUGAACUCAGUCGCAGCCCCUCCCCUAAAGCUAUCUGGGGGCCCACCAACAGUUACCUCAUUAGCAUAAACUCAGAUGUAGUCAGAAGGGGCUUGUUAUAGAUAACAAAAUACACUCCUAUGGCUCAGGAAAUCUCAAGAGUUUUAGGAGCUCUGUGCCAGGAACCGGGGGACAAAGACCAAAAGCAGGACGCUGGCAGACACAGCGGGCCGUCCUGCGUGCCCACACGUGGUGCCAUCAGCGCAGCAUUUAUGGCCCCACAUACUCCUGUAUCCCCACCAUUCUAGCCAGGUGCCUGGCUCACAGUGGUCGGCAAUGGUUUUUAAAAUGGAUCAGUGAGUGUUUGCAUCUCUUAUUCUGGGCAUAAAUUCAUUCAGCACCUUGUAUGUCAGAGACUGCUGUAGGUGCUGAACACAGGGACCUGGGGAACAAUGGUUUAUUUGAUCCUUAGCAUUUUCCAGCUACUGGGAAGACUCCACCAUUGGUGAGAACAGAAGCCCCACAGACUCUUCUCUCUGUCUGAGAGGUGAGGGAGUGGAGAUUAGGGGUUCCAACUCCGCCUGGCUCAAAUUCUGCCUCCACACUCCCCUGCACAAGUUACUUAACUCGGUUUCUACUUGCCUUAGUUUCUGCAUUUAUAAAAUGAGGUGAGAAUAAUACUAAUACCUCUUAGAAUUGAUUCAAGGAGCAAAUGAACACUUACAGCCUGUCAUCAAUACUAAUAAAUAUAAACUGCCAUUACUUUUUCUCCUUUAUAAUAUCCUUUAUGGGGUAAAAAUAAGAAGAUAUGUCU